rnacentral:rRNA from 1 species
GGAGUCUGGGCCGUGUCUCAGUCCCAAUGUGGCCGUUCAACCUCUCAGUCCGGCUACUGAUCGUCGCCUUGGUGAGCCGUUACCUCACCAACUAGCUAAUCAGACGCGAGCCCAUCUCUGAGUGAUAAAUCUUUGGUAGCAAAAUCAUGCGGUUUUACUACAUUAUGAGGUAUUACCAUCCGUUUCCAGAAGCUAUCCCUCUCUCAGAGGCAGGUUGCUCACGUGUUACUCACCCGUCCGCCACUAAGAUCGCAUAGCAAGCUAAGCAAUCUCCGUUCGACUUGCAUGUGUUAGGCGUGCCGCCAGCGUUGUCCUGAGCCAGGAUCAAACUACU